UAUGCAAAAGGCCUAGAAAGCCACAUACAGAGAGGUAAAUGAGAUGAGAUUAUUUUUGUCAUUUGGUUGUUUCUUGGAUUUAGAGGUCAUCACCCUCACUCAGGACAACUCCCCUAAGCUGUGAGCAGGAAAUACCUCAAUAUCAGGCCCAAUGGCCCAGAUUGAAGACAUAAUCCUUUGGCCCAGGACUCACCAAUAGAUUCCAGAAGGCACGGUGUGGGUGGCCUUCCACUAUCAAUCAAUGGUUGGGCGUCUCUGUUUGUGACUCCUUGCCACCCAAGCUUAUAGGUCUCUCAGAUGCAGCCUGUAUGGAGACCUUUGGCCAUCAGACCUUCACAGUUUCUAACCACCCACCAGGAGACUCGGGAAGUAUCCAUAAAAACUUGCUUUUAUGGCUACUACACCCCCUUGAGUAUGGUCAUUAGGAUUAUUUAGCGUUUAUGAGACACCCUUUGUGUAGCAAGGCCAAGGGGAAGGCAAUUUGGCAGCCUCAACACAAACGGAUGUUUCUAUGUAACCCCACUCUGAGGCUGAUCCUUCCCAGUGAGAUUAGUUCAUUUCAACCUCAAUGAGGAGCUCAUAGGCUAGGACAAAGUUUUUCUCUCCUCCUGUAUGUUAAUCUAGGCAUCUCCAAAGGAACCCUAAUCAGAACCCAGAGGAGAGAAACUUCCAAUGACCUUUGUAAGACAAAUGCUUGUGUUGACUCAUGCUCUGAGUGGCAUUGCUGAGCAAAGUCCUUCAUUCUUUUUAUCUCACUUAGUGACGUAUACACCUGACUUGAUGCCAGACCUUGUGUCCGGUCUCGACACUGUAGAGGUUUAUAAGCCAGCUUGUACCCACAGAGCUUAGAUGUGACUGGAAGGUAGACAUGGGAAUAGAAAUAUAAAACAGAUAAUGUAUUAGAGCCAAGUCCACCAAGUGUGGAGGCCUAGUGAGCAAGACAGGGUAGGAAGGUUUUCCAGGAGGGUAAGCCUAGAUGUCAUUGAAUGGAUAAUGAGUUUGUCGAUGCUUUCAUGUGGACCUUUGCAGGAAGAUGGACUGGCUGAGCACAGGCUGGCUUUGAACUCAGUAUGAAGGCAAGGAUGACCUCAUCUUUCUGAUCCUUCUGCCUCCACCUUCUAUGUACUAGGAUUGUAGGUAUGUACCACACCUGAUUUUUAUGCUGUACGGGAUAUUAAACUCCGGGUUUCAUGCAUGCUAAGUAAGCACUUUACCACGUGAACUGUACACCCAGCCCUCAGAUCUGUAUUGAGAUACUGUACCCCUGAAGUGAUCUGUAAAUAUGGCAGGUCUUGCAGGCAUCAGUCACAGGCUGCGUGCUGGAGCACCGAAAGCAGGGAAACCAUCAGACUGUGGUUUUCCCUCACAGGAGGCCUUUGUUAUCUUUGCUGACCCGCAUCUGCCAGCUGUAGUGGGACUUCUGCUAUCUGUCACCUCCCCCUAGGAAUGCCAGGAUGUUUGAAAUAUACCACAAAUCCCCAUGUACACCAGAAGUAGGUGGGGCUUCCUGAACUCUGCCCACCCCACCCUCAGUCCCCUCCACCUCCAUGUGUUUCUCAUUAGAGGGUUGAUGGAAGGGGCUGCUGAACUUGGUAGAUUUAUCAUCAUUCUGCCUUCCUCGGGCUCAGAAAGUUUGUGGUCUUAAAGGGAAAGUGGCUUUGACAAAGAAAGUUCAGUUCUUAGGCAAAAAUGACAUUUAAGGCUAUGUCUGAGCAUUGGUUACCUUGCUUCAUUGCUUUGGUUUGUUAAACUUGUUUUCCAUGGCAGGUGCAUUCUGCUCUGGGAGGACAGAGUAGCAUUUGAAGGCAUUUCUUUGGGGCAGAUGAAAUUGGUGAAAUAGAGCUAGUUUGAGCGCAAGGAUGGUGACUUUGGAGUCGGAACCAUGAAUAGCCCUUCCCUUAUCUGUAGAGAACGGUAACUCCUGCGGUUUUAAUUUUUUAGCUCACUGUCUCUGUGGCAGUGCCCCUGCCUGUUAGCAGCUGGGCUGACCCCUCCUGUUUAUGGCAGGCUGUACAUACACAGCUAACUCAGCAGGGCCUGAGACUUGUGUAUUAUAGGCCUUCUAACCUAGUCAUUUUCCUUUCCUCUUCCCACAAUAGACUGCCUUCUGCCCCAUGAUAAGCACUCUAUCAUUCAUGACUGAAAUCAGUCAUGGGACAUGUUGGUGGAGGUUCCGGAAUGUUCUGGGAACUUUUCCUUAAGGGUCAUAACCAGUAAGACAUAAUUUCUGAUGAAUCAACUCUUGUGAUAUGGUAUCAGCAAGGUAACAGACCAUAAAUAGCAGAAGGAAACGAAGAUUAAUGUGGUUAUGUCCCUGUGGUAUCUGGGUAGGAAGGAGCCAAGGGGCUCCUUGGGGAAGUAGCUGGAAGCCAGGGGUGAUAAGCUCAAGGUGGGUGAAAGGGGGGCUCUGAUGUUGACUGCCUCGACACUCAUUGCAGCCUCUGUCACUAACUAGCUGUGGGAUCUGAGGCAAUUCAUCUUCUCUCUGUGAGUCACAUUCUCUCAGCUCAAAGGAUGGAGGUGAUGGUGGAGGUUAUGUGCGCCGUGCUACUGUGAAUAUGAGAGAGAGCGAAGGGACUUUAGCACAGAGAUGGACAUGUGGAAAAAGCCCAGUUCAUGCCAAGGUAACAAUCAUAAUAGCUCACAGAAACUGCCUGCUCACAAGGGCCAAGGAUUAUUUUAAGUGACUUAACCCAUGAGGUUAGUAUGUUCUUCAAACUCACUUUGAGUUGAAGGAAUGACACAAAGUUACACAGCAAUUAGUGGUAGCGCUGAGAUUGCCCUGAAAGCUCAUAGCUUCCACUAUUUCUAUUACAGGCAUGAAUAAAAGGGCACAAUUUUAAUAAUACAGAAAUAUGAAUUGAUAUGCAGAAUACAUAGAUAAAAAUAUAAAAUCUUUAUAACAGAAGUUAUCUUAAAACUUUCAGAUACCAGGGGACAGAACUUUUAUACUGAAACUGUUUAAUUAACCCUUAGAUUAGGCUUGGGGGAAAUGUAUUAAGUAUCCAGUGGAUGUUAAGAGAAGGAAGGAGUUACUGCAGCGAUGCACAGCUUACAUCCUUUCUCCGCACCCCACUGCCUCUAAGAAAUUCACUCAAGGUCAAGUUGUAUAGGUCUCAAGAUAUCCCAGAGUCCAACCAUCCGGGCCAACCAAAACCCUGUGCUCGAGGCGUCUUCUAACGUCCGUCAGGGAAGAACGUCUAUGAGACAGCGGAUGCAAACUGAGUAACGAGCAGGAUUCUCAAAGGAAGUGAUGAGGGGCAAUAGGAAAAGUACUGGUGGAUCUGAUGGUCUGUGAAGCCGAGGAAAUCAGGGAACACGGAAGACGGAUAGGAGAGCCUAUAUUUAAAACUGGCUCAAGGUAGGGAAGGAAGCGAGUGGCUUAAUUUUAGAGAGUCCCAGACACUGAGGCUCCUGGGGUAAGAAAUGUGGAAACUUGGGUGAGGAUUGUCUGCCAUUUAUCAUCGAUGUUCUCCAGAGGAGCGGGGGCUGAGUCAGCUGGAGGACUUCCCCAGAAGACUAGAGAAGAUGAGCUUGGAAAACAAACAGAAAUGGAGGGCCCAAGGACCUAUUUGAUUACCUUUGGCUUUGAUCUCCUCACAUAUAGGAUGAGACUAUACCGUUUCCGACAGAGGUUUUUGUUAAAAGGUAAAGGAGAAAAGGUGAAGCCGAUUCCCAUACGUGGGUUGGCCUGAGUAGGUGCGUGUCCAGUGCUCACUGACUGACUCUUCAGGAUGACGGGGUAAAAUGUUUAUAAAAGAAAGUUCUCAGCAAGUCAGGGGGAGAAGACUUUGGCUCACUGUGAUUUCUUUAGAUCUAAAUAGGUUUCUCGCGUCUAUGAGGCUGCCCUUUUCCUUAGGCAAUUCCUCAAUACUCCGCAGGCUCAGAGCAUGUUUGCUAGCUACAGAUGACUACAUUUUACACUCAGCCCCUGGCACCAAAUACUGUGGGGGAAUCGCGUAAUGUACUCUGAAGUAUGGCAUCGUAAGACUUUAGCACUACCACGUCCCUACUCUUUAAAAUUAAGACAGCCUUUGCCCUGGUGUUUCAAAUAAUAUGAGUUGGUUGAAAAUAACUUUUUCUUCUUGUUUUCUCUCAUCUCUUCUCUCUUUUUCUCUUUUGCACCUUUCUUCCCUCUCCUGUUCCUCUCCCUCCCCCCUCCCUCCCUCCCUCCCUCUUCUGCCCUCCCUCUCUCCCCCUCCCCCUUUCCAUCUCCCUCCCCCUCCAGACAUGCUUUUUCUUUAUGAUAAGCCUGGCCUCAAACUCUGGAUGGAUCCUCCUGCCUCACUCUCCCUAAGGCUGGGAUUGUCACACCAGAUGGUGAUAGCUUUAUUAGUUCACUAUGAUCUGAAGCAGAAAGUGAAAGGCUGCAUUCUAAUUUCAUGGAACUAUUCUUAUCAUCACAUUAUUCUAGACCCGACUCUUUACUCAUAGGAACAUACCUAUUGCGCUCUUUAGGUAGCAAUCACAAUAUCCUGUGAGCCCUUUCCAGGCAUGAGGGGUAUUGUCGGCUCUAUAUCAAUACCCAUCAUCAUCCAAAUAAAGAAGUUGAUGCUUUCCCUGCCCCACUGAAGUGCCCUGUAGGUCUCACCAGAGCAUCCUUCCACCCUCCUGACCAGACUCCAGUUUCACUUCUGCCCUUUUCACAACUGUGUGGUAACUGGGAUUUCUUCAUUAACUAUGACCGACCACGAGAUAGACCAUGCUCUGGGAAGGAAUGAGUCAAUUCACAUGGUUUCAAUGCUUGGGGUAGGAUGGGGUGGGGGUCGGUGUGGGAGGUUGGGGCUCCAGUGUGUCAUCAUGUACUCUACCUGCCACCCCCCCAAUCCAGGCCCCUUUCUCCCACACUGGCUUCCUUCUGAACAUCCAUAUAGUGGUAAGAUGGUGGUGCCCACUAGCUCUAGGCCUACACUCUGUCGGCUCAUAUCCAAGAGAAACAGAUCAUACAUCUUUUCUAGUAGCUCCCAGACAAGACCUUUGAUUAAAUUAGCCAGUAGCAUGCCAAUCCUGAACAUACCUAGCUUCUACUACGGAUAUGUCAUCUGGAAUCUAUCGAAACCCUUCUGACACAGUGUUCCCCUGUAUUAGGAUAACAGACCCCAAGGAAAAGUUCCUUUUUCCCAAUGUAGUCCCAACACGAGGAAGACAAAGAUAACUUCUAGUGAUAUACACUGAGAGUUGUAAUGCACUGGGCUCCUCAGUUGUGUGGUACCCAUUUUAUACCUAAAGAAACAGAGGCUUGGAGAAGGGAAGCGGCAGUGAGCUCAGUUUGUGUGUGCUGGGGCCAGACCCAGCUCUGUGGUUCUUUCACUGUGGUGAGGAAAACAAUAUUAUUUGGUCAAAUAGUAUCACAGCUAAGCCACCUGGCCUCUCCCACAGGCUUUACCUCACAGUGCUCUUGUCAGAUGUAAUGGAAAAUUCUCUAUGGACUGAUAGAACUCACAAACACCAGCUCACUGAACCCACCAGCUCACGAAACCUUUGUGUCCUAAACAUGCUUCUGUCGAGCCCCCAAGGGGAAGGAGAAAACUCGAUUUGGCCAGACCAUUCUGAGAGAAACAGAUCAAGUAGUAAAACAGAUUAAGUAAUGAAAGAAGUGGGCAUGUAAUUCUCUGUUGUAUUUUUUUUUCUUUGUAUUUCUGCAGAUGUGUUUUUGAAAGAAUAUCUAUCGUUAUUUAGAAUUUGUUUUAAACUGUAUUCAUUAGUGUGUGUGUGUGUGUGUGUGUGUGUGUGUGUGUGUGUGUGUGUGUGUUCAGGCACACAUGUGUCACAGCACAUACAUGGAGACCAGAGCAGAGGACAACUCCACAGAGUUGGUUUUCUCCUUCCUACUUUAGGCUCCAGAACUUGAACUCAAGUUACCAGUCUUGCACUAUGAACCUUUUAAUCAUGCACCGUCUCAAGGCCCAGUGUGCUCAGAAUCUUGAGAAAAAUAUGAAACACUUUUGGAAAGAUAUUUUGUUGGGACAAGUAAAGUGCAAAGUGUGCUAGGAAGAACAGAGCUCACUGGACAGUCAUGGCUUCCAGCCUGUCUGUGGUGACCUCUGACCCUUCCUACCGCACAGCUUGGACAUGGCUUGCUUUUUCCCCAAGCUUCCCUUUCCCCAGUGGUUCAAGGAAUGGUUUUGAAAGGUUUGUGCCCUUUGGGAUGCAGAAGUAACUCAGUUGGAAGAGUUCCUUGCAUAGCCUUAUAAGGAGCGUGGAUUUGAUCUCCAGCACACGUAAACUAGACAACUCGGUCAGCACUCAGGUGGUAGAGCAAGAGAUUAGACGUUUCAAAUUGGGCUGAAGAGAUGGCUCAGAGGUCCUGAGUUCAAAUCCCAGCAACCACAUGGUGGCUCACAACCAUCUGUAAUGAGAUCUGAUGCCCUCUUCUGGUGUGUCUGAAGACAGCUACAGUGUACUCAUACAAUAAAUAAAUAAAUCUAUUUAAAAAAAAAAGACAUUUAAAGUUACUUCCACUUAUGUAGCUAGUUCCACGCUGCCUCCCUGGCACUAUUAUUUCUCAUCCCGAACCAUUUUUAAAUUUAAUAAACAAGCACACAAACAAAUAAAGGUAGGGUUGAUUGGGAGGUGGCCACAACCCUACACAUGAGCCAGGGGUCAGAUCAAGGGUCUGAAGGAAGACACGAGUUUUCGUUGGCUUUAGAGCAAACUUCUUGUGGGCUGAAGGGAACUGGGGAAUGGGACCCUUGGGGGCUUUCCUGCCUCUGGAAAUGGUGUUGGCUUUGCUUGUUUCCCAGCCAAAGUUUUGAGACUCCAAUGAGAAGCUGCUUGCAAUGUGGCCGAACUCCAGUUUGGAUUCGAAGAAUAUAGGUCAACAGCAAGACACACGAAGGGCCUGCAAAUUGGCUUCCUGGAGGCGAGCUCCCACCCCAGCAUGCUGGAGCUGCUCAUCAUUCCAGGGAUGGCGUCACCCGUAAUGGUCUGCAUUGUCGCCCACCAAUCAUUAAUUAAGUGCCUGAUAGCCAGUUUUUAUGGAAGCAUUUUCUCAAUUGAGGUUCCCUCCUUUCAGAUGAUUCUGGCCUGUGUCAAGAUGACAUAAAACUAGCCAGUGUACCACAUCCCAGAUCCAGGCAGAAUGUGAGUGAAAUUACACCUGUCUCCAUGUCAGCACUUGGGAGCAGUGAGCUGGAUCAGAAUCACAACAAUGGAAACUAUGACAGCCCAGGGCAGACGGAUCAGCCACUGUUGUUAUUGUAUUUGUGGUAAAUGGUGGUGGUAUCAGUUGGUCAGUGCUUCCGUGUGUGUGUGUGUGUGUGUGUGUGUGUGUGUGUGUGUGUGUGUAUACCUGUGUGUGUACCUGUCUCUCUCUCUGUAUGUGUGUGUACCUGUGUAUGUGUGCGUGUGUGUGUACCUGUGUGUGUGUGUGUGUGCGUGUGUGUGUACCUGUGUGUGUGUGUGUGUGUGUGUACCUGUGUGUGUGUACCUGUCUCUCUCUCUGUAUGUGUGUGUACCUGUGUAUGUGUGUGUGUGUGUGUACCUGUGUGUGUGUGUGUGUGUGUGUAUACCUGUGUGUGUACCUGUCUCUCUCUCUGUAUGUGUGUGUACCUGUGUAUGUGUGUGUGUGUGUGUGUACCUGUGUGUGUGUGUGUGUGUGUGUGUGUGUGUGUGUGUACCUGUCUCUCUCUCUGUAUGUGUGUGCUUGCUUUCUGUUCACAUGCUCUCAUUUUCCUCCAGGUUGUGUUCAGCGCACCCUUCUAAAGUGGAGAAGGGACAGUAUUGUCAUAGUGCCUUGCACUUGUGAGCCCACCAUCCUCCCUCCUCAUACAGAUCCCUGUUCUAUGACCCUGAUCCAUAUCCAGAGGGUGGGACUUGGGAGGACCUUAGCAGGCCUCUUGCUUGUGUUUCCCUUUUGCCCUGUUACCUCAAAAAUCUGUGCUCUUCUGCCAGAGGCCAUAGCUCCCAUCACAGGUGUCUCCCUACUGCUCUGUCCUCCUUCCCUCACAGGCUUCACUGGUAAUGAUUGCCUAUCUAUUAAAUAUAUAUUUAUAGAUACUUAAAUAUAUUUAUAUAUGUACCUAGGUAUAUACACAUUAUAUCUAUCUAAAUUUAAGUAAUAAUAAUUUCUUGUUAUCACUGUGUGUGUGUGUGUGUGUGUGUGUGUGUGUGUGUGUGUGUGUGUGUGUGUUAAGCCAGAGGGUAACUCUGGGGCAUUCCUUGUCUCCUUCUACCUUUGUGUAGCUCUGCAUUGAGCUCACUGUCAGGCUUUCAUGGCUGCUGCUUUACACCUGCUGAGCCAUCUCACCAACACAACCUUGUUAGUUUUUUAUACAAAGCAAAUGGCUGAUGGAAAAUGAAUGGCUUCUGUCAUGUAGGUAAUGGUUGUUGAAGCUGCUCCUCCCUUUUUCAGUGUUUAUAGUAGCCUUGGCAGGGAGCAAAGGGAAAAAUUCUACCCACACUUCAAACACAAGGCUAUCAAAGCUGAAGAGACUCCUCCUGGGCUAACGCUGUACCCAAGAGCAAAUAGCCAUGGAGAGCCAAGACCCCUCACUAGGCUCCCUGUGACUCAGCCCUAGCUCCUGUUUUGGAGAGGCUGCAGUGUGACGACCCCAGAGGCUUAAUGGUCUCAGCUUUGGUCACUUUCCCUGACAAUCUGAGUCACCUUUGGGAUUUUCCAAGGCCUACACUCCUGCAGGGUUAAAAGAAAAAGAAAGUCCAAUAUGUUGCAAGUUCAGAAAGCAAUUGAAUGUAUAGUUCUCAUUGGCUCAGGCAUCCUUCUGAGGAAUGAGGGAGCUGAGGGGAAAACAUCAGGAAGUGAGUGUCCCAAGGGAAAUGAGGCCUUCGAGUUGCACAAAGUAACCCUAAUAACCAUUUACACAAGGUUUGUAAAGACCACAAGGGCUUCUGGAUGUGCAGACAGACAUGCCCUGGAGGCCUCUCAUGGGACAUCCCCACCUUUUGUCCUGGUCAGUGCACAGUUCCACUCAGCUCUGAGCCUGACACAUCAAAGGACUCUGACUAGAGGUAUGGAAUGACUGACUUUGGUCCUCACACAGCUCUACUUUAGAAAAGAGGCUGAGAAGUUUCAAAGCAUCUAAGCACCUUGACCAAGGUGAUACUAAAGGAUCCAGUCUUCCUAGACGCUUCCUACCUUUUUGUUUUCCUCAGAGAACCACUUUAUUCAGUUCUGUACAUAUGGGGACAUUGGCCCAAGUCCAACCCACCUUAGCAUGUAUCACUCUGUGGAAAGCACCCUUUGUACACAGCCAAAAGCCGCACUACCUGUGCCCCUGAAUCCUAGCCCAGCCCUCCCCAGUCCUUUGUGUUUCUGAGUGCCUAUAGGGUACAGGUGAGGGCCUGCCCAGGGCCGGCAAAAACAGGGAAAUAGACACUCCAAGGAACCAGGCUUAGACCACUGCUCCUGCUUCCUCCUCUAUAGCUCUGGGAACCAAGAGCACAGGGGAAAGCAGUCAGUCACAAGGUGGUCCCUUCAAACUGUGUGAUCCCAGGAUUGCUGCUUGCCAGAGAGGGCAACGCAGAUGGUUCAUUCUCCCUGCUUGGCACACCGGGCCCCUGUCAUCUAAUGUCCAUAGCAUACUAGUUUGUCCGUCUGUGUUGUCUUGUUUAGGCAUAGGAUGAAAAGGACCACACUCUCCCCCUGCCUGCACAAUGCUAGGCCUAGGGGUCUGUUUGUGCUGCGCAGGAUGGGUCCCCCCAGCUCUUCACACCAGGGGCCACUAGAGCUUAACAUGACUUUGGUGGCACUCUCCUGCUGUACCCUGCAGGAAGAGGAGAGACACAUCAACUUCAGAUGAGGAUGACGGGGAGGGGAGGGGAACAGGUGAUCCCUGUGUGUAUUUUUCAGAACAGUCUUAGGUAGCUGUGGGGUUAGGAGCAGGGGGACAGGCACCCCCAGAUUGUCUAAGCACUGAGCACUCAGUGCUCAGCCUGUCUGUACUGGCCACAGGGAGGCAUGGGGGUACGGGAGAAGAGGGAGCACGGUGGGCAUCCCUGCUUCCAAUGCCUGCAUCCUCUAGAGUAGCCGGAGAGGUGCUGUUUUGUUUCGUCUUGUUUUCCUUCUCUCUCUCUCUCUCUCUCUCUCUCUCUCUCUCUCUCUCUCUCUCUCUCUCCCUGUCUUCCUUCCUUCCUUCCUUUCUUUCUUUCUUUCUUUCUUUCUUUCUUUCUUUCUUUCUUUCUUUCUUUUUCUCUUUCUUUCUGUUUGUUUGAGACAGAGUUCUUUGUGUUGCUUUAGCUGUCCUGGAACUUGAUCUAUAGACCAGGCUGGCUUCAAACUUACAGAGAUCCUCCAGCCUCUGCUUCCCUCUGAUCUCCAAUCUCUGCUGGGAUUAAAGGUGUGUAUCACCACCCGGCUGUUUUCUUUUUAUUGUGUACAAAACCAGACUGUGGUAUGUUUCUUUAUUGAAUAUAUGCCUGGCACACAGUGGAGCAGCCACACAGAUGUCCCCCGCUUUCUCCUGGUGGAUAGUUUAGUCUAACCUCUGCUCUCACUGGUGCCCCAGGGUUACAUUCUGCAAAGGGUUCACAGAGCUGGGACUCUUGCCAAAGUGAGAGAAAUGAAGAGAGAAAGGGGAGCUGGAGGAUGUAGCUCAACAGUGGAAAUGCUCACCCUCACGUGCAAACCGUUGGGCCCAUCCCUGACAAUGAGGAGAAAGAGAGGAGAAAACAAAGGGUGGAGACUGUCGGGCUGAGGAUCUGGGAACAGUUGUUACAGGCAGGGGAGAGGAAAAGCCAUGCUCUGUAAGGAAGCCCAGAGCCAACCCCAUGCCCCAGCUCCCUAUACACGAACAGCUCUACUGCUGUACUUCAGGGCUGGCUCAAGGAUUUCUCCAGACUUCUUGCCCCUCUCCCACAUACUCCCAUUCCUGCAACCAUCCCUCAAAUGUUCUUAAUGAUGUUAACUCCUUUGUCUGUUAGCAUGUGCGCCUCUUCUUCAAGUCAGGCAGAAGGAAGAUGGGCUUCUGGAGGUCACUUGAAACCUUUGGUAAUAUAGAAGAAGCUGGAGUUGAUGGAGAUAACAAAUUUGUUCCAAAUCACACAUGGAAAAGUGGCACAGCAAGGGAAAGACCCAGACAUUUGGAUGUGGCGUUUAUGUGGCAGCCUGAGGAGUGACACAUACUGUAUGGGGCUUACAGCCUGAUUCUGCCACUUAUUACCUGAGUGAUGCUGGGCAAGCCCCUGAUGGUCUGGACCUCAAUUUUCUUACCUGUGCAAUGGGUAUAAUGAUACCUUCUCCAUAGGAAGCAGACAUUGGAGAAGAAAGAGCCUAGUCUAGCUCUGGGCUAAAUAUAAGCCUCCUUCCUUUGUCCCCCCACCUUUCACAGAAUGAACUUUUGAACCAGACAGGCUUGGGCCCAAAUCUUCUAAGAACUUGGAAAGAAACAUUAACUUCAGCCUGGUUUUCAUAUGUAUAAAGUCAUGAUGACUGGCCAGGCUGGCACAUGCCUAUAAUUUCAACAUUCAAAAGAAUGAAGCAAGGAGGGUCAUAAGUUCAAGGCCAGUUCAGGCUACAGAGCAAGAAUAUGUUUCAGACAGAAAAGAAAAGUCAUGGUCUCUGUACAAGAAGGAGCACAUCAAGGGUGCCUUGAGGAAGCCACAGAGAUCAGAGACAUGAGGUGGAUCCUCUGGACAGUGCUGACCUUCUCUCCCCUCCUCUAGGGCCCACCCUGCCAGUUAAGCAACCUCGAAUGAGACUCUGUGUUCAACCUCCUAUUCUGCCCCAGAAGCAGACUCCCUCCAAGGUUCAGUGAAGAGCUAGGGGCAGAGACACUCCCUUUCAGCUCUUAGGCCAGUUGAGGACAUGGAUCCCUUGGGGGCAUCAGGCCCAGAGGCUAUGUGAAAGUCAUAGCUAAUCCAGGCCGGCCUUUGGCAGCGCUUUCCUGGGCAGGAGUAAGCAUGACGUUAUUCAGAAAGACACGUAGGUUUAAACCACUUUCUUCAAACCAGCAGUCCUGCUGCCUCCCGACAGUCCUUCCAGGAAAAACACAUCAGUUUUCAACAAGAAAUGAAGCUUUGGGAAAGCUUAUUGUACACAGUUCAGGCCUCCAGAGACAUUCAGGGCCCCAUUUGGAGUCAGAAGCUGAAAUGUCACCAUUGGUCCUGUCUUCCCCAGAGGAAUAGAGUUGCUUGUUUCAAAUCAGACAAAGGCAGUACACACCAGGCAUCUCUAAUGACCUGUUUCUUAAUAAGCAUGUAUCACACACAAGCAACCUACGCCCUGGAAGCCUCGUCUUCUUACUGUAAAGUAUGAACUAUCAUAUCACCUCAAAGGUGGAGAUGAGGUUCAAAGUAAGCACAUUAAUGAAUUAGGUUGAGCCACAUGCAAUCUCAAUUAUUGAGGCUCAAAGGUUAGAUUACUAGAAAUCUCUUAUGAUUGCUUGUGCUACUAGAGGCCUAGCAUAAUUGGAGAGGCUCUAAACUGAGCCAUUUUUUAGUGUCUCUCAAACAUUAUGAAACACAGGGAAUGGUUGGGAUGGUGGGGGCUGUGUGAAAAGGUCUCAUUCGGAAGCUUUGUGGAUGUCUAUCUGCAUUGUCUGUCAAUGUGACACAACCUAGAGUCAUCUCAGACAAAAGACUUGGUUGAAGAAUCGCCUAAAUCAGAUUGGUUGGCCUAUGGUAGGAUUAUUGAUUAUUAAUUGAUAUAGGACUGGCCCAGUCUAUGGUAUCAUCCCUCAGUAGUGGACCUGAGCUAUGUAAGAACUAACCAAGGGCCUGGAGCAACGGCUUAGCUGUGAAGAGUAUUUACUGUUCUUGCAGAGGACCUAAGAAAGUCCAGUUCCUAGCUCCUACAUGAUGGCCAACAACUGUCUAAAUCUAAUUCCAAAGAAUCUGAUGCCCUCUUCUGACUUCUGUAGGCACCAAGUGUGAGCAUGGUAUAAUACAUACACAGAGGCAAAACAUUCACAUGCAUAAAAUAAAUAUGUCUAAAAACAAGCAAGCAAGAAAGCAAGCGAGGUAAGUAUAAGCAUGCCAGUCACUGACAAGUAGGAUUUGUCAUGAUUCCUGCUUAUCUGCUUAUCUUUUUUUGCCAAUUUUACACAAGCAAGCGUCAACUAAGAAGAGGUAGCUCAAUUGAAAAAAUUAAAAGUCUCUAUCAGAUUGUUUGCGUGAAAAGUCUUUGGAAUGUCUUCCUGAUUAAUGAUUGAUGUAGGAGGGCCCAGCCCACUGUGGGCAGUGUCGUCCCCGAAUAGGUGGUUCAGCGUUGUAUAUGAAAGCAGAUUGCAAAUACAUAAAUAAAUAAAUAAAUAAAUAAAUAAAUAAAUAAAUGAAGGAAACAGGUUGUAGAGGCGAUGGGGAGCAAGCCUGUAAACAGCAUCCCUCCAGAUUCCUGCCUUGGCUUCCCCGUAUGUAACUGUAACCUAUGAGACAAAUAAACCUUUUCCUCCCCAG